rnacentral:rRNA from 1 species
GGGGCCCUACGGGGGGCAGCAGUGAGGAAUAUUGGGCAAUGGGCGGAAGCCUGAACCAGCCACGUCGCGUGAGGGAAUAAGGCCCUACGGGUCGUAAACCUCUUUUGCCGGGGAGCAAGGGCGGGGACGUGUCCCGGCCCGGAGAGGACCCGGAGAAAAAGCAUCGGCUAACUCCGUGCCAGCAGCCGCGGUAAUACGGAGGAUGCGAGCGUUAUCCGGAUUUAUUGGGUUUAAAGGGUGCGCAGGCCGGCUUUUAAGUCAACGGUAAAAAUUCGGGGCUCAACCCCGGCCG